rnacentral:tRNA from 1 species
GUUAACUUAGUGUAGUACUUGCACGUUGGCUUUUCAAGCCGAAAGCGCUAAUAAGCAGCUAACU